rnacentral:rRNA from 6 species
GUGCGACCCCAGGAUGGGCGGGAUGACCCGCUGAGUUUAAGCAUAUCAAUAAGCGGAGGAGAAGAAACUUACGAGGAUUCCCUUA